rnacentral:rRNA from 1 species
CCUACGGGAGGCAGCAGUGAGGAAUAUUGGUCAAUGGCCGAGAGGCUGAACCAGCCAAGUCGCGUGAAGGAAGAAUGUCCUAUGGAUUGUAAACCUCUUUUGUCAGGGAGCAAAGUCACCCACGUGUGGGUGUUUGAGAGUACCUGAAGAACAAGCAUCGGCUAACUCCGUGCCAGCAGCCGCGGUAAUACGGGGGAUGCGAGCGUUAUCCGGAUUUAUUGGGUGUAAAGGGGGCGUAGGCGGGAUAUCAAGUCAGCGGUAAAACCGUGGGGCUCAACUCCAACCAGCCGUUGAAACUGUUGGUCUUGAGUGCGCGAGAAGUAUGCGGAAUGCGUGGUGUAGCGGUGAAAUGCAUAGAUAUCACGCAGAACUCCGAUGGCGAAGGCAGCAUACCGGCGCGCGACUGACGCUGAAGCACGAAAGCGUGGGUAUCGAACAGGAUUAGAUACCCUAGUAGUC